CGGGUGCACUGAUCCGGCCGGGCCUUUCCCUCUGUGGAACCCCAUGGCCUUCACUGGCUGUGCGGGGGAAACAGGACUUUUACUGUGAAAAAAUUAGAGUGCUCCAGGCAGGCCUAUGCUCGAAUACAUUAGCAUGGAAUAAUAGAAUAGGACGCGUGGUUCUAUUUUGUUGGUUUCUAGGACCGCCGUAAUGAUUAAUAGGGACAGUCGGGGGCAUCAGUAUUCAAUUGUCAGAGGUGAAAUUCUUGGAUCUAUUGAAGACUAACUACUGCGAAAGCAUUUGCCAAGGAUGUUUUCAUUGAUAAGGAACGAAAGUUAGGGGAUCGAAGACGAUCAGAUACCGUCGUAGUCUUAACUAUAAACUAUGCCGACUAGGGAUCGGACGAUGUUAUUUCUUGACGCGUUCGGCACCUUUCGAGAAAUCAAAGUGCUUGGGCUUCAGGGGGAGUAUGGUCGCAAGGCUGAAACUUAAAGAAAUUGACGGAAGGGCACCACCAGGGGUGGAACCUGCGGCUUAAUUUGACUCAACACGGGGAAACUCACCAGGUCCAGACACAGUGAGGAUUGACAGAUUGAGAGCUCUUUCUUGAUUCUGUGGGUGGUGGUGCAUGGCCGUUCUUAGUUGGUGGAGUGAUUUGUCUGCUUAAUUGCGAUAACGAACGAGACCUUAACCUGCUAAAUAGCCCGUACUGCUCUGGCAGUUCGCCGGCUUCUUAGAGGGACUAUCGG
rnacentral:rRNA from 1 species